rnacentral:rRNA from 1 species
AGAGUUUGAUCCUGGCUCAGAACGAACGCUGGCGGCAGGCCUAACACAUGCAAGUCGAGCGCACCCUUCGGGGCGAGCGGCGGACGGGUUAGUAACGCGUGGGAAUGUACCCAGAUCUACGGAAUAGCCUCGGGAAACUGAGAGUAAUACCGUAUACGCCCUUCGGGGGAAAGNNUUAUCGGAUUUGGAUCAGCCCGCGUUAGAUUAGAUAGUUGGUGGGGUAAUGGCCUACCAAGUCUACGAUCUAUAGCUGGUUUUAGAGGAUGAUCAGCAACACUGGGACUGAGACACGGCCCAGACUCCUACGGGAGGCAGCAGUGGGGAAUCUUAGACAAUGGGCGCAAGCCUGAUCUAGCCAUGCCGCGUGUGUGAUGAAGGCCUUAGGGUCGUAAAGCACUUUCGCCAGGGAUGAUAAUGACAGUACCUGGUAAAGAAACCCCGGCUAACUCCGUGCCAGCAGCCGCGGUAAU